CACACUUACUCUAGCCAGAGAUUUUCUAAACUCAGUCUUACGAAUCACAUAGGACUUCUCUUUUUCUACCAAGAUCGAUAGAUUCCAUCUAAGUACAUCCUACACCAAAUAGCGAACCUGAACCUACAAUAGCCAACAUACACAGUAAGAAUUCGAAUGGCUAGAGACUAAAAAAAUAUGCAGUCAAACUAAGUAGCCUCACUGUGAAUAGCCAACACAUC
rnacentral:lncRNA from 1 species